AUUUAGGCCAUCCCAUUGGCUGUUGGGAUGUUCGGACCAGACCACUUGCGUGGGGGGAGGUGCACUUGUUUGAGGACAGGUAAUGUAUCUAUAAAAGAGAAAACACUCAAGUUUUCUCCAAUUGUAAUUUUCACCAGUAAUAAAUAUCACUAUUACUUCACUGAGAUUUUCAGAUGUUUCAUUAAAUGUUGUAUAAUAAUCUAUAUCUUGAUUUUACUAAUAAAACAAAAAAACCCACAUACAACAAACAUUCAUUAUUUGAUAAAAUCUUUAUUUUGUCAUAAUGAUAACAACAAUAAUAAUAAUCAUGAUAAUAAUUUUAUAAAGUAAUACAUUUAUAUUUAAGUGCGAGUGAUUCUUUGUUUUCAUUUAACCCAACUGUUAAUAAAUCUUAUAAAAUUAUGUCUUUGUGAUAACACAAAUCCAGGGGUGCAGAAAUGGAACAUAUUUCACUAGCUCGCUGGACCAGAACCAACUAAAAUUUACUAGCCCGCAAUAAUUUCUACUCAUCCGCCAGUCUAUAGAAUAAUAUACUAUUAAUAAUAUUAUAAUAUACAGUGUCUUCACUUCAAAUGAUAUAUAUGGAUAUACUGACAAAACAUUAUUAAGAACAUCUGGUAAGUGAUCAACAUCAUGUGGCAAACGAAGUCAAAAAGACAGAUAGACCUGUCGGACCGAUAGUUGCAUUUUUUAACUCGUCCGUCAGAAUUUUUACUCGCAUUUGGCGAGCGGGCAAGUACUUUCUGCACCCCUGCAAAUCAUUAUGAUUAAUAUUUAAAAUAAAGGUAAAAAGACGGGGUCAAAUUUAAGAUGCACAGGUGUUUAAGCAUUGUAAAUAUAUGUAGUUACAUGCAUGCAGGCUUUGCAAAUUUGACCCAUACUGUACAUUUAUUGUUUAGUAAGUGUAAAUAAAAUUAUAUCUGUUGAUCAAAACAA